rnacentral:rRNA from 1 species
AGUGAACGCUGGCGGCAGGCCUAACACAUGCAAGUCGAACGGCAGCACAGAAGAGCUUGCUCUCUGGGUGGCGAGUGGCGGACGGGUGAGGAAUACAUCGGAAUCUACCCUUUCGUGGGGGAUAACGUAGGGAAACUUACGCUAAUACCGCAUACGAUCUGAGGAUGAAAGCAGGGGACCGCAAGGCCUUGCGCGAUUGGAUGAGCCGAUGUCCGAUUAGCUAGUUGGCGGGGUAAAGGCCCACCAAGGCGACGAUCGGUAGCUGGUCUGAGGGGAUGAGCAGCCACACUGGAACUGGGACCCGGGCCAGACUCCUACGGGAGGCAGCAGUGGGGAAUAUUGGACAAUGGGCGCAAGCCUGAUCCAGCCAUGCCGCGUGUGUGAAGAAGGCCUUCGGGUUGUAAAGCACUUUUGUUGGGAAAGAAAUCCUGUCGGCUAAUACCCGGCGGGGAUGACGGUACCCAAAGAAUAAGCACCGGCUAACUUCGUGCCAGCAGCCGCGGUAAAAC